rnacentral:rRNA from 2 species
GGACGCAAGUCUGAUGGAGCAACGCCGCGUGAGUGAAGAAGGCUUUCGGGUCGUAAAACUCUGUUGUUGGAGAAGAAUGGUCGGCAGAGUAACUGUUGUCGGCGUGACGGUAUCCAACCAGAAAGCCACGGCUAACUACGUGCCAGCAGCCGCGGUAAUACGUACGUGGCAAGCGUUAUCCGGAUUUAUUGGGCGUAAAGCGAGCGCACGGCGGUUUUUUAAGUCUGAUGUGAAAGCCCUCGGCUUAACCGAGGAAGUGCAUCGGAAACUGGGAAACUUGAGUGCAGAAGAGGACAGUGGAACUCCAUGUGUAGCGGUGAAAUGCGUAGAUAUAUGGAAGAACACCAGUGGCGAAGGCGGCUGUCUGGUCUGUAACUGACGCUGAGGCUCGAAAGCAUGGGUAGCGAACAGGAUUAGAUACCCUGGUACGUCCAUGCCGUAAACGAUGAAUGCUAGGUGUUGGAG